rnacentral:lncRNA from 1 species
AUGGGACCAGUACAGUGGCAUCAAUUCAGCCUCCAGGCACUCAGCGACCCUGAGGAUGUCCUUCAUGAGAGUGUGCAGUCAGCAGAAAACUUCAGAGAACGAAGUCGUGAUGUCAAGAAACAACAACCAAAUGAACAAAAUAGAAGCACCGUUGCUUUUCAAAGGUCAUCAUUCUUGAACGUAGUAGCACUCCACUGAGAGAGAAGAUAUGAAAUUCAUGAUCUUUAGUAGAGCACACGACAAGUUCACGUCACUUGCAGGUCAAAAUGCAGAUUUGCGUUUAGUAAGUCUGGAGUGAGGGUUGAGAUGCUGCCUUUAUCAACAAGCCUCCAUAUACUGCUGCUGCUGUUAUUGCUGGUGCUUCUGGUGCUGCAUUGCCCCUAGUUUGAGGAAGGAUCUAGCAGCUUUGCCUAUAAAAAUAAGUAAUGGAAAAAAUUAUUGAUCCUAUAAGCAGGGGAUUAGGGCAUAUCAAGCUGGCUGGACAACAGGAUGUAACAUAUCAAGCAUGGAGCAGUGAAAAGGAGGCUGAGCAAAUAAUGUAACUGUCAGUCGUGGAAAACUGUCAAGUCUUCCGUGAGCAGAAUAAUUUCCAAAAGACUGGAUCUGAAAAGUUGUAGUAAAAGAUGCUAAUCAUUGACUUCAGAGCCAUGGCUGUCUUUGUUCUCACAGUGGCCUGUAACUACAUGUGUAAUGUAUUUUCGAUUUUCUUCUCUUUUUACAUGUCCCCUCUUCACUUUUUAGUUUUUAUUCUUUUAUUUUAAAUAAAUGCUUCCUUAUCACACACAUCAAUUGUUCUGGCCAGUUCUUUGGAUGAGACUGCAAGAUGCUAGAACCACUGGACACCUUGCUGCCUGGCAACAUCUUGGAGGUGGAAGCACUGGUAUGUCGGCCU